rnacentral:rRNA from 1 species
CCUACGGGGGGCAGCAGUGGGGAAUAUUGGACAAUGGGGGGAACCCUGAUCCAGCCAUGCCGCGUGUGUGAAGAAGGCCCUCGGGUUGUAAAGCACUUUCAGUGAGGAAGAACGCCUGGUGGUUAAUACCCAUCAGGAAAGACAUCACUCACAGAAGAAGCACCGGCUAACUCCGUGCCAGCAGCCGCGGUAAUACGGAGGGUGCGAGCGUUAAUCGGAAUUACUGGGCGUAAAGCGCGCGUAGGUGGCUUGAUAAGCCGGUUGUGAAAGCCCCGGGCUCAACCUGGGAACGGCAUCCGGAACUGUCAAGCUAGAGUGCAGGAGAGGAAGGUAGAAUUCCCGGUGUAGCGGUGAAUUGCGUAGAGAUCGGGAGGAAUACCAGUGGCGAAGGCGGCCUUCUGGACUGACACUGACACUGAGGUGCGAAAGCGUGGGUAGCAAACAGGAUUAGAUACCCCUGUAGUC